GACGAACGCUGGCGGCGUGCUUAACACAUGCAAGUCGAACGGAAAGGCCCUGCUUUUGUGGGGUGCUCGAGUGGCGAACGGGUGAGUAACACGUGAGUAACCUGUCCUUGACUUUGGGAUAACUUCAGGAAACUGGGGCUAAUACCGGAUAGGAGCUCCUGCUGCAUGGUGGGGGUUGGAAAGUUUCGGCGGUUGGGGAUGGACUCGCGGCUUAUGAGCUUGUUGGUGGGGUAGUGGCUUACCAAGGCUUUGACGGGUAGCCGGCCUGAGAGGGUGACCGGCCACAUUGCGACUGAGAUACGGCGCAGACUCCUACGGGAGGCAGCAGUGGGGAGUCUUGCAGAAUGGGCGGAAGCCUGAUGCAGAAACCCCGCGUGCGGGAUGACGGCUUUCGGGUUGUAAACAGCUUUCGACUGUGCCGAAGACUGAGUGACGGUAAUGGGUAAGAAAGCACCGGCUAACUACGUG
rnacentral:rRNA from 1 species